rnacentral:tRNA from 1 species
GGAGAGAUGCCCGAGAGGCCGAUGGGGUACGCCUGGAAAGCGUAUGUGCGGUAAAACGUACCGAGGGUUCGAAUCCCUCUCUCUCCGCCA